rnacentral:rRNA from 1 species
GAUGAACGCUGGCGGCGUGCCUAAUACAUGCAAGUCGAGCGAACGGACGAGAAGCUUGCUUCUCUGAUGGUAGCGGCGGACGGGUGAGUAACACGUGGAUAACCUACCUAUAAGACUGGGAUAACUUCGGGAAACCGGAGCUAAUACCGGAUAAUAUUUUGAACCGCAUGGUGCAAAAGUGAAAGACGGUCUUGCUGUCACUUAUAGAUGGAGCCGCGCUGCAUUAGCUAGUUGGUAAGGUAACGGCUUACCAAGGCAACGAUGCAUAGCCGACCUGAGAGGGUGAUCGGCCACCCUGGAACUGAGCCACGGUCCAGACUCCUACGGGAGGCAGCAGUAGGGAAUCUUCCGCAAUGGGCGAAAGCCUGACGGAGCAACGCCGCGUGAGUGAUGAAGGUCUUCGGAUCGUAAAACUCUGUUGUUAGGAAAGAACAUAUGUGUAAGUAACUGUGCACAUCUUGACGGUACCUAAUCAGAAAGCCCCGGCUAACUACGUG